rnacentral:rRNA from 1 species
CUAAGGCUAAAUACUCUCUAGUGACCGAUAGUGAACCAGUACCGUGAGGGAAAGGUGAAAAGCACCCCGGAAGGGGAGUGAAAUAGAACCUGAAACCGUGUGCUUACAAGUAGUCAGAGCCCGUUAAUGGGUGAUGGCGUGCCUUUUGUAGAAUGAACCGGCGAGUUACGAUUUGAUGCAAGGUUAAGCAGUAAAUGUGGAGCCGUAGCGAAAGCGAGUCUGAAUAGGGCGUUUAGUAUUUGGUCGUAGACCCGAAACCAGGUGAUCUACCCUUGGUCAGGUUGAAGUUCAGGUAACACUGAAUGGAGGACCGAACCGACUUACGUUGAAAAGUGAGCGGAUGAACUGAGGGUAGCGGAGAAAUUCCAAUCGAACCUGGAGAUAGCUGGUUCUCUCCGAAAUAGCUUUAGGGCUAGCCUCAAGUGAUGAUUAUUGGAGGUAGAGCACUGUUUGGACGAGGGGCCCCUCUCGGGUUACCGAAUUCAGACAAACUCCGAAUGCCAAUUAAUUUAACUUGGGAGUCAGAACAUGGGUGAUAAGGUCCGUGUUCGAAAGGGAAACAGCCCAGACCACCAGCUAAGGUCCCAAAAUAUAUGUUAAGUGGAAAAGGAUGUGGCGUUGCCCAGACAACUAGGAUGUUGGCUUAGAAGCAGCCAUCAUUUAAAGAGUGCGUAAUAGCUCACUAGUCGAGUGACACUGCGCCGAAAAUGUACCGGGGCUAAACAUAUUACCGAAGCUGUGGAUUGUCCUUUGGACAAUGGUAGGAGAGCGUUCUAAGGGCGUUGAAGCAUGAUCGUAAGGACAUGUGGAGCGCUUAGAAGUGAGAAUGCCGGUGUGAGUAGCGAAAGACGGGUGAGAAUCCCGUCCACCGAUUGACUAAGGUUUCCAGAGGAAGGCUCGUCCGCUCUGGGUUAGUCGGGUCCUAAGCUGAGGCCGACAGGCGUAGGCGAUGGAUAACAGGUUGAUAUUCCUGUACCACCUAUA